ACGGAAUAGAUACCCUGGUAGUCCCAGCCGUAAACGAUGCUCGCUAGGUGUCAGGCAUGGCGCGACCGUGUCUGGUGCCGCAGGGAAGCCGUGAAGCGAGCCACCUGGGAAGUACGGCCACAAGGCUGAAACUUAAAGGAAUUGGCGGGGGAGCACAACAACGGGUGGAGCCUGCGGUUUAAUUGGACUCAACGCCGGACAACUCACCGGGGGCGACAGCAAUAUGUAGGCCAAGCUGAAGACUUUGCCUGAAUCGCUGAGAGGAGGUGCAUGGCCGUCGCCAGUUCGUACUGUGAAGCAUCCUGUUAAGUCAGGCAACGAGCGAGACCCGUGCCCACUGUUACCAGCAUGUCCUGG
rnacentral:rRNA from 1 species